rnacentral:misc_RNA from 1 species
UCCAACAUUUCGUUGGCAGUUUUUUUCAACUACUAACUAACAUAAUAAAAAAUAAGGGUUUCGCUCGUUACCGUAAUAAAACUGACAUUUCACAACACGAGCUGACGACAGCCAUGCAACACCUGUGUGGAAAUUAAAUUUUGUUCUUUUUUUAUUAUUUAUAAAAAACAAAUAAACAACAUUUACAUUGCUUUUUUUCCACAUUUCAAGAACUGGUAAGGUUUUGCGCGUUGUUUCGAAUUAAACCACAUGUUCCACCGCUUGUGCAGACUUCCGUCAAUUCCUUUGAGUUUUAAUCUUGCGACCGUAUUCCCCAGGCGGAAUGUUUAACGCGUUAGCUGACAAACUGAGAUCUUAUUGAUCCCAACAUGCAACAUUCAUCGUUGACAGCAUGGACUAC